rnacentral:rRNA from 1 species
UACGGAGGGUGCGAGCGUUGUCCGGAAUCACUGGGCGUAAAGGGCGCGUAGGCGGCCGUGUAAGUCACUUGUGAAAUCCCGGGGCUCAACUCCGGGGCUGCAGGUGAGACUGCAUGGCUAGAGCUUGGUAGAGGCGAGUGGAAUUCCCGGUGUAGCGGUGGAAUGCGUAGAUAUCGGGAAGAACACCGGUGGCGAAGGCGGCUCGCUGGGCCAAUGCUGACGCUGAGGCGCGAAAGCGUGGGGAGCAAACAGG